UACGUAGGGUGCAAGCGUUAAUCGGAAUUACUGGGCGUAAAGCGUGCGCAGGCGGUGAUGUAAGACAGUUGUGAAAUCCCCGGGCUCAACCUGGGAAUUGCGAUGGAGACUGCAAGGCUAGAAUCUGGCAGAGGGGGGUAGAAUUCCACGUGUAGCAGUGAAAUGCGUAGAGAUGUGGAGGAACACCGAUGGCGAAGGCAGCCCCCUGGGUCAAGAUUGACGCUCAUGCACGAAAGCGUGGGGAGCAAACGAGG
rnacentral:rRNA from 1 species